rnacentral:lncRNA from 1 species
AGUAUAGUCCUUACUACCUUAGAGUAAAAACUACGCCAGUCCUUAACUUUCAACAAUAUUUUUAGUUUCUACACGAUAAAUCCCGACAAUCAGUAAUUCAUCCACUAAUACUUUUAGUUUGACGACUUAAUUUUUCAAUAGAAAAAGUCUUAUUACUCAAUCCAAAAUAGGGUUGAAAUAUGCGAUGAGAUAAAAGAGUAAUAAAUGCACAGAUGUAAUCGCUGUAGGUACGUAAUAAUUUACUAAGUCAUCUAUAAAAGUUUGAAAAAUGUUACUUCAAAACAUAAUGGUCAUUUUCGAAAUAAAAUUCAGCUUCUAACGGAUUAGUUUACAAAAUUGGUUUUAAGAAAUAAGCCUUUUAAUUCAUUUCUUUGACAUCUACGUUAGUCCUUAACUUUCAACAACAUUUUUUGUUUCUACACCAUAAAUCCCGACAAUCAUUGGUUCAUCCACUGAUAUUUUUAGUUUGACGACUUAAUUUUUCAAUAGAAAAAGUAUUAUUACUCAAUCUACUAAGUCAUCUAUAAAAGUUUACUAAGUCAACUAUAAAAGUUUGAAAAAUGUUACUUCAAAACAUAAUGGUCAUUUUCGAACUAAAAUUCAGCUUCAAACGGUAAAUCGACGCGGUGGAUUAGAUUACAAAAUUGGUUUUAAGAAAUAAGCCUUUUAAUUAAUUUCUUUGACAUCUCAAUGUAGGAUUUUUGAAAACCACAGAGUCAUAAAAAUUUUUAAAAAAAAGAUAUUGAAAACUACUUGAAAAAUAAUAUAUAUAGAUGCAUUCGGCUUAUAUAUAUAAGUCCUGCACUAUAACCUAGCUACUUCCCCAGCCAUGCUACACAUAUGUAACCCUUUUUCUUGCAUUAAAUAUAAAUAUGUUUCUUCAAAAUUUCAAUAUUAUUUAUCUAACUUUAGAGAACUUAUAUUAUGAAACAUAUUUGAUCUCAUAAAACUAUAUAAACUGCCAAGUUUUUUUGUAUAAUGCUAAUUCUUAUUCAAGGCCCUAAUGUUUUAUUUAGUUGACUCUAAAAUUUUAAUAAUGUUUUAGUAUAGUCCUUACUACCUUAGAGUAAAAACUACGCUAGUCCUUAAUUAGCUUUCAACAAUAUUUUUAGUUUCUACACGAUAAAUCCCGACAAUCAGUAAUUCAUCCACUAACACUUUUAGUUUGACGACUUAAUUUUUCAAUAGAAAAAGUCUUAUUACUCAAUCCAAAAUAGGGUUGAAAUAUGCGAUGAGAUAAAAGAGUAAUAAAUGCACAGAUGUAAUCGCUGUAGGUACGUAAUAAUUUACUAAGUCAUCUAUAAAAGUUUGAAAAAUGUUACUUCAAAACAUAAUGGUCAU